rnacentral:rRNA from 1 species
AACCAGCACCUCAAGUGGUCAGGAUGAUUAUUGGGCCUAAAGCAUCCGUAGCCUGUUCUGUAAGUUUUCGGUUAAAUCUAUGCGCUCAACGUAUAGGCUGCCGAAAAUACUGCAGAACUAGGGAGUGGGAGAGGUAGACGGUACUCGGUAGGAAGGGGUAAAAUCCUUUGAUCUAUUGAUGACCACCUGUGGCGAAGGCGGUCUACCAGAACACGUUCGACGGUGAGGGAUGAAAGCUGGGGGAGCAAACC